rnacentral:rRNA from 1 species
AUGGCGCCCGGGCACACGUGCCUCCACGUCCGGCGGCAUCAGCAGCAGCACGCCUCCUCCUUCUCCUGCUCCGCCCCCGCCGUCGCCGCCUUCGUCGGGCUCUGCCUGGUCGCCGUCUGGAUGGCCUCCUCGACCCUCGUCACCCUCGCCGAGUUCUCCCCGUUCCAGGCCCCAUUGUUGCGCCGCCCCGCCGCUCCGGUGGAGGGGACCGCGGGCGCCGACAAGCCCCCGGUCGGCGUCAGAGAGGAGAGCGCCGACGAGCAGGAGCCCCCUAUGACAGAGCGGCAGCAGGCGGAUCAUUCCACAGAGAAAGCAAAGGGGCUGAUGAACAACAGAGUGUCCCGGAGCUCAUGGGGAAGCCGGAUGAGGAUCCCGGCGAGAAGCCACAGGCAAAGAAGGACGAGGCCGAGGUGUUCCCGGACGCGAAGGACGCCGAGCUCCUCAACAGACGGCGAUGGGCCAGGCCCGUGGCGCACCCAGGCCGCAGAGUCCAACAAGGAGCGAACCACGGCGCCAGGUGUUCCAGCGAGCCACAGCUGGAAGCUCUGCGACGUUGAGGCCGGAGCCGAUUACAUCCUACCUCGACAAUGUGGAGGCUAUGAGAAAGCUCCAGGGCGACAAGCACUACGAGCACCUGGAGAGGCAUUGCCCUGA